UUGUCUCAAAGAUUAAGCCAUGCAUGUCUCAGUACAAACCAAAUUAAGGUGAAACCGCGAAAGGCUCAUUAAAUCAGUUAUGGUUCCUUAGAUCGUACCACACAUUUACUUGGAUAACUGUGGUAAUUCUAGAGCUAAUACAUGCAAACAGAGUUCCGACCGGAAACGGAAGGAGCGCUUUUAUUAGAUCAAAACCAAUCGGUAGCGAGCGUUCGCGCUCGUUAUCGUACACUUUGGUGACUCUGAAUAACUUUAUGCUGAUCGCAUGGUCUUGCACCGGCGACGCAUCUUUCAAAUGUCUGCCUUAUCAACUGUCGAUGGUAGGUUCUGCGCCUACCAUGGUUGUAACGGGUAACGGGGAAUCAGGGUUCGAUUCCGGAGAGGGAGCCUGAGAAACGGCUACCACAUCCAAGGAAGGCAGCAGGCGCGCAAAUUACCCACUCCCGGCACGGGGAGGUAGUGACGAAAAAUAACGAUACAAGACUCAUCCGAGGCCUUGUAAUCGGAAUGAGUACACUCUAAAGCCUUUAACGAGGAUCAAUUGGAGGGCAAGUCUGGUGCCAGCAGCCGCGGUAAUUCCAGCUCCAAUAGCGUAUAUUAAAGUUGUUGCGGUUAAAAAGCUCGUAGUCGAAUCUGUGUCCCACGCCGCUGGUUCAUCGUUCGCGGUGUUAACUGGCGUGUUGUGGGACGUCCUGCCGGUGGGCUUAGCUCGCAAGGGCGGCUCAAUUUAAUCCUGCCGCGGUGCUCUUCACUGAGUGUCGAGGUGGGCCGGCACAUUUACUUUGAACAAAUUAGAGUGCUUAAAGCAGGCUAAAAUUUUGCCUGAAUAUUCUGUGCAUGGAAUAAUGGAAUAGGACCUCGAUUCUAUUUUGUUGGUUUUCGGAACAUCGAGGUAAUGAUUAAUAGGAACGGAUGGGGGCAUUCGUAUUGCGACGUUAGAGGUGAAAUUCUUGGAUCGUCGCAAGACGGACUUAAGCGAAAGCAUUUGCCAAAAACGUUUUCAUUGAUCAAGAACGAAAGUUAGAGGUUCGAAGGCGAUCAGAUACCGCCCUAGUUCUAACCAUAAACGAUGCCAGCUAGCGAUCCGCCGACGUUCCUCCGAUGACUCGGCGGGCAGCUUCCGGGAAACCAAAGCUUUUGGGUUCCGGGGGAAGUAUGGUUGCAAAGCUGAAACUUAAAGGAAUUGACGGAAGGGCACCACCAGGAGUGGAGCCUGCGGCUUAAUUUGACUCAACACGGGAAACCUCACCAGGCCCAGACACCGGAAGGAUUGACAGAUUGAGAGCUCUUUCUUGAUUCGGUGGGUGGUGGUGCAUGGCCGUUCUUAGUUGGUGGAGCGAUUUGUCUGGUUAAUUCCGAUAACGAACGAGACUCUAGCCUGCUAAAUAGGCGUAUUUCGACAUCCUAAAGGCUCGCCUUCGUAUUUUGGGUCACGAGGCUCAUGUGCGUUGUGCGCAGUUUUUACUGUCGGCGUAUUAAUUAAUCUUCUUAGAGGGACAGGCGGCUUCUAGCCGCACGAGAUUGAGCAAUAACAGGUCUGUGAUGCCCUUAGAUGUUCUGGGCCGCACGCGCGCUACACUGAAGGAAUCAGCGUGUCCUCCCUGACCGAAUGGUCCGGGUAACCCGCUGAACCUCCUUCGUGCUAGGGAUUGGGGCUUGCAAUUGUUCCCCAUGAACGAGGAAUUCCCAGUAAGCGCGAGUCAUAAGCUCGCGUUGAUUACGUCCCUGCCCUUUGUACACACCGCCCGUCGCUACUACCGAUUGAAUGAUUUAGUGAGGUCUUCGGACUGGUACGAGUUGGUACUUCGGUAUUGGCUCUGUUGCUGGGAAGAUGACCAAACUUGAUCAUUU
rnacentral:rRNA from 1 species